AAAGUAACCCACAUUUAUUUAAAAUUACAAAAAUUAGUGUUUAUACCCCGUAGAGACUACACGUCGAUUACCCAGUUAAUUUUAGUUGGGUAAAGAUAUAGUCCAAUGCACGCAGUAAUGCGUGGAAACAUACGUGAGACAGGUUGGUCCCUAUCUACCACAGGCGUUGAGUUUUGAGGAGAUUUGUUCCUAGUACGAGAGGACCGGAAUGAACCAACCUCUGGUGUAUCAGUUGUACCGCCAGGUGCAUUGCUGAGUAGCUAAGUUGGGAAGGGAUAAGCGCUGAAAGCAUAUAAGCGCGAAACCCACUCCAAGAUUAGAACUCUUAGAUUUCUCGUAGAUGACGAGAUUGAUAGGCUACAGGUGUAAGUCCCGUAAGGGAUUCAGCCGGGUAGUACUAAUAAAUCAUAUUAUCCUUUGA
rnacentral:ncRNA from 1 species